UACGGAGGGUGCAAGCGUUAUCCGGAUUCACUGGGUUUAAAGGGUGCGUAGGCGGCUUUGCAAGUUGGGUGUGAAAGCCCUCGGCUCAACCGAGGAAUUGCGCUCAAUACUGCCGAGCUUGAGAGAGACAGAGGUAAGCGGAACUAAUGGUGGAGCGGUGAAAUGCGUUGAUAUCAUUAGGAACACCGGUGGCGAAGGCGGCUUACUGGGUCUUUUCUGACGCUGAGGCACGAAAGCCAGGGGAGCGAACGGG
rnacentral:rRNA from 1 species